rnacentral:other from 1 species
AUUGUCACUGCUGCUCCAAGGGCACGCGCAGAGGGAUUUGGAGUUCCUAGAGAGUUGCCUCUGUGAGAAGCUGGAAUCCAUCUCUUAGUUUUCCGUGUAAGUGUUCAGUUUAC